UAUGGCCAUAACAUGUUGAAACACCAGUUCUCAUCUGAUCACCAGGGUUAAGCAAUAUCGAAGCUGAUUAGUACUUAGAUGGUUGACCACUUGUGAAUACAAGGU